UUGACCUCAAAUCAGGUAGGACUACCCGCUGAACUUAAGCAUAUCAAUAAGCGGAGGAAAAGAAACUAACAAGGAUUCCCCUAGUAACUGCGAGUGAAGCGGGAAAAGCUCAAAUUUAAAAUCUGGCGGUCUUGCGGCCGUCCGAGUUGUAAUCUGGAGAAGCGUUUAUCCGCGUCGGACCGUGUACAAGUCUUCUGGAAGGGAGCGUCGUAGAGGGUGAGAAUCCCGUCUUUGACACGGACAACCGGUGCUUUUGUGAUGCGCUCUC
rnacentral:rRNA from 1 species